rnacentral:rRNA from 1 species
UACAGAGGUCUCAAGCGUUGUUCGGAUUCAUUGGGCGUAAAGGGUGCGUAGGUGGCGCCCGUAAGUCAGGUGUGAAAUUUCGGAGCUUAACUCCGAAACUGCAUUUGAUACUGCGGUGCUUGAGGACUGGAGAGGGAGACUGGAAUUUACGGUGUAGCAGUGAAAUGCGUAGAGAUCGUAAGGAAGACCAGUGGCGAAGGCGGGUCUCUGGGACAGUUCCUGACACUGAGGCACGAAGGCCAGGGGAGCAAACGGG